AGUUCGAACUAGGGUUAAUGAUGGUUGUAAUGUUGAUGUAUACUGCAAGAUGAACACAUUGAUAUAUUGCUUUUUGAUUUUGGCUACCAUUUGUUCUUGCUGGAAAUUUUCGUGGAAGAACACUUUGAAAAUGCAUAAACCCUAAAUUUCCUGGCCAAAAACCCGUGUUUGAUCUUCCAAACCGUGCCCUGCAUGAAUUUCCAAGUUUCUG
rnacentral:lncRNA from 1 species